rnacentral:rRNA from 1 species
GACGAACGCUGGCGGCGUGCUUAACACAUGCAAGUCGAACGGAAAGGCCCUGCUUUUGUGGGGUGCUCGAGUGGCGAACGGGUGAGUAUCACGUGAGUAACAUGCCCUUGACUUUGGGAUAACUUCAGGAGACUCGGGCUAUUACCGGAUAGGAGCUCCUGCUGCAUGGUGGGGGUUGGAGAGUUUCGUAGGUUGGGGAUGGAGUGGCGGCUUGUCAGUUUGUUGGUGGGGUAGUGGCUUACCAGGGCUUCGAGGUGUAGCCGGCCUGAGAGGGUGACCGGCCACAUUGGGUAUGAGAGACGGCCCAAGCGCCUACGGGAGGAAGGAGGGGGGAAUAUUGGAGAAAGGGCGGAUGAGUGAUGCAGCAACGCGGCGUGCAGGAUGACGGCCUUCGGGUAGUAAGCCGGUUUCGCCGGUAACGAAACGUAGGGGAGGGUAAUGGGUAAAGAGGCACCGGCUAAUUAGUG